AUUGAACGCUGGCGGCAUGCCUUACACAUGCAAGUCGAACGGCAGCACGGGUGCUUGCACCUGGUGGCGAGUGGCGAACGGGUGAGUAAUACAUCGGAACGUACCUUAUCGUGGGGGAUAACGCAGCGAAAGCUGUGCUAAUACCGCAUACGCCCUGAGGGGGAAAGCGGGGGAUCGAAAGACCUCGCGCGACUACAGCGGCCGAUGCCUGAUUAGCUUGUUGGUGGGGUAAAAGCCCACCAAGGCGACGAUCAGUAGCUGGUCUGAGAGGACGAUCAGCCACACUGGGACAGAGACACGGCCCAGACUCCUACGGGAGGCAGCAGUGGGGAAUUUUGGACAAUGGGGGCAACCCUGAUCCAGCAAUGCCGCAUGAGUGAAGAAGGCCUUCGGGUUGUAAAGCUCUUUUGUCAGGGAAGAAACACCGGCUCUAACACAGUCCGGGAAUGACGGUACCUGAAGAAUAAGCACCGGCUAACUACGUGCCAGCAGCCGCAGUAA
rnacentral:rRNA from 1 species